UACGUAGGGUGCAAGCGUUAAUCGGAAUUACUGGGCGUAAAGCGUGCGCAGGCGGUUUUGUAAGUUUGUCGUGAAAUCCCCCGGGCUCAACCUGGGAAUUGCGAUGAAGACUGCAAGGCUAGAAUCUGGCAGAGGGGGGUAGAAUUCCACGUGUAGCAGUGAAAUGCGUAGAGAUGUGGAGGAACACCGAUGGCGAAGGCAGCCCCCUGGGUCAAGAUUGACGCUCAUGCACGAAAGGCGUGGGGAGCAAACAGG
rnacentral:rRNA from 1 species